GUUGGCUAUAUAAAUAUUUUGAUAUGAGCGUCACUGAUGAGUCAAAUGUAGACCAAACGCGCGUCUGGCGUACUAAAUUAUAAUCCCGGUAACUUUGAUAACUAUUUACACCACAGGGUCGAUACCACUGCUGGUGGACGUUUCGUCCUCGAGGGUAUCACCAGCCCAGCAGUCAACAUUUCGGCGUUAACACGAAUAUGAAUAAU
rnacentral:lncRNA from 1 species